rnacentral:sRNA from 1 species
CACUAGCCCCGAUGGGAACGGCAUCCUUUUUCUUUUUUGAAGUGGCAAAAAAGCGGUGGCAAAAAAGAAAAAGAUACAGUGGACAGCGGGAAAAAGC